CUGCAAAUAAACACCAGAAGAAGAAGUUGCUUCCUGUUUAGCUUUGUAAUGGAAGGCAUGGGCCAUGGGUGGCAUGGCCUGAUGCUAGCAGUCCACAUCCAUGAUCCAUACACUAUGAACCAACGUAGACGCAGUGGUCAUGUUCCAACUCUGUCAACACACUGCAGAGAACAAGACACUGUGAUUACACAGUGGUGGUGGUCACAGUAGAGGUCUGUGAACCAUCUAAGCAGUUUGCCAUUCAUCACUAAUGCUUUCAAUCACCGAGUGCAGCUGAAAACAAUCUCCGCUGUGAAGAGUCUUGGACGCGAGUGCCAUCAUCCAUCAUUCAGGAGUCAUCCGCCCCAGCUUUUCCACUCUACACAGUUGUUGCUAUUUGUUUGUCCACUCCAUGUUAGGACAUUAUUCACAUUACAGUGUUUGGUGUAAUGAAUGCUCUUACUAGUGUUGGUUUAUGUAUCUGGCCUGGUUUCAUUUUUAUUGUAAUGAACAUGAUUGAGGAAUAUGCACCCGGUGGUUUGCCGUUUCUAGUCCUAAUGCAAUGUAAAUGGAGCAAAAAUAAUCUGCAGUGAGUAAUGUCUGUUUACGUAUGCAUCGUGCAUUCAGUGUUUGGUUUCCCUUGCAUGCAAAGUAUUACCUGGGUAAUUGAUUUUGCAAGCUUCAUUAGGCACAAUUUGUAUAUCAGAUGGGCUGGAAAAGAGAGUUGUUGAUUAGUUAGAUCUUCCUUUCGGAAAUUGCUUUUUUUUCCCCCCACAUUCUUAUCUCCGUUGCAACCCUAAUGGCAACAUACUUUUGUAGUUUUGCCGUGAUAAUAAAGUA